UCUGCCCCUAGAGGCCUAGCAGGUGUGGCUGCUAUGCCACAUGGGUGUCAGUAGGUGGCAGAGAGGAGAGAGGCUGUCUGUGCUCUAUGUUCUGACCUGUAAACAUCUGAGUGAUUGGUAGCCUAACAUU